UACGUAGGGUGCGAGCGUUGUCCGGAAUUAUUGGGCGUAAAGAGCUUGUAGGCGGUCUGUCGCGUCUGCUGUGAAAAUCCGGGGCUCAACCCCGGACUUGCAGUGGGUACGGGCAGACUAGAGUGUGGUAGGGGAGACUGGAAUUCCUGGUGUAGCGGUGAAAUGCGCAGAUAUCAGGAGGAACACCGGUGGCGAAGGCGGGUCUCUGGGCAAUAACUGACGCUGAGGAGCGAAAGCGUGGGGAGCGAACAGG
rnacentral:rRNA from 1 species